AAGAUGGAGAAGGAAGUUGCUGUGGGUAUUCCAGGUAGUCCACAGCUUGCAUAAGGGCCUGGAGACAGAGCAGGUGCCCUGGAAGACUUGAAAAGAUUCAGUGUCGCUGGAGCUCAGAACACCAGCUCAGGAUGACCUCAUACUAGCAGCCGAUAUUCCUGCCUCAGUCCCGAGUGUGCUUAGCAUGAAGACCACAGAGGUGGACCGCCAGCACAGCUCCAUGGGAAUGUCUUCUCCCUCAGCCACCUCAGGGGCUGCUGCAGCAACAGGGACGGCACCAGGCAUCAUGCCACCCAUCGGCAUAAGGCCAACAUCUUCAAUGUUUUCUUC
rnacentral:lncRNA from 1 species